GAGUUUGAUCUUGGCUCAGAUUGAACGCUGGCGGCAUGCCUUACACAUGCAAGUCGAACGGUAACAGGUCUUUCGGGAUGCUGACGAGUGGCGAACGGGUGAGUAAUGUCUGGGAAACUGCCCGAUGGAGGGGGAUAACUACUGGAAACGGUAGCUAAUACCGCAUAACGUCGCAAGACCAAAGAGGGGGACCUUCGGGGCCUCUUGCCAUCGGAUGUGCCCAGAUGGGAUUAGCUAGUAGGUGGGGUAACGGCUCACCUAGGCGACGAUCCCUAGCUGGUCUGAGAGGAUGACCAGCCACACUGGAACUGAGACACGGUCCAGAC
rnacentral:rRNA from 1 species